UGCGGAGGAUCAUUACUGAAUAAACGUUGAUAGGCUGUUGCUGGCUUAAAUGCAAAUGUGCACGCUUGUCAUCUUUAUCUUCCACCUGUGCACUUUUUGUAGACUCUGGAGAAUUAAUUAUCUGAUUGACAGAUAGAUAGAGGACUGCUGCAUUGUGGCUUUGCCUUGUUAAUCUCUAAGGGCUCUAUGUUAUUCACAUACUCCUAUGGAUGUAAUAGAAUGUUGACCUGUUUAUGAAAUGUAUACAACUUUCAGCAACGGAUCUCUUGGCUCUCGCAUCGAUGAAGAACGCAGCGAAAUGCGAUAAGUAAUGUGAAUUGCAGAAUUCAGUGAAUCAUCGAAUCUUUGAACGCAUCUUGCGCUCCUUGGUAUUCUGAGGAGCAUGCCUGUUUGAGUGUCAUUAAAUUCUCAACUCCUUACAUUUAGAUGUAGGACUUGGAUUUGGGGGUUUGUUGGCUAUUUUAAACAAAGUCAGCUUCCCUGAAAUUGAUUAGCAGUGCCAUGGCUGGAACUGUCUACAGGUGUGAUAAUUUAUCUACACCAUAGAUGUUUGCAUAUACUGCUUUCUAAUCAUUUAUAAUGAUAAUCUUGACCUCAAAUCAGGUAGGACUACCCGCUGAACUUAAGCAUAUCAA
rnacentral:rRNA from 1 species